UACGUAGGGACCAAGCGUUGUUCGGAUUUACUGGGCGUAAAGGGCGCGUAGGCGGCAUGACAAGUCACUUGUGAAAUCUCUGGGCUUAACCCAGAACGGCCAAGUGAUACUGUCGCGCUAGAGUGCGGAAGGGGCAAUCGGAAUUCUUGGUGUAGCAGUGAAAUGCGUAGAUAUCAAGAGGAACACCUGAGGUGAAGACGGGUUGCUGGGCCGACACUGACGCUGAGUGCGCGAAAGCCAGGGGAGCAAACGGG
rnacentral:rRNA from 1 species